rnacentral:rRNA from 1 species
UACGUAAGGAGCAAGCGUUGUCCGGAUUUACUGGGUGUAAAGGGUGCGUAGGCGGCUUUGCAAGUCAGAAGUGAAAUCCAUGGGCUUAACCCAUGAACUGCUUUUGAAACUGCAGAGCUUGAGUGGAGUAGAGGUAGGCGGAAUUCCCGGUGUAGCGGUGAAAUGCGUAGAGAUCGGGAGGAACACCAGUGGCGAAGGCGGCCUGCUGGGCUCUAACUGACGCUGAGGCACGAAAGCGUGGGUAGCAAACAGG